GCGCCCGUAGCUCAGGGGACAGAGCGGCUGCCUUCUAAGCAGCAUGUCGGGGGUUCGAAUCCCUCCGGGCGCGCCA
rnacentral:tRNA from 3 species